AGAGAGAGAGAGAGAGAGAGAGAAUGGGGAGCUGGAGGAUAGCAGCAAGAGUGGCAUGUCUAAGCAGAAAUGGUGGGAAGAUUUAGGGCAGCAUCGUCAGUGACAUUGGGUCAUCUCUCUAAAAUUGCAGGAGGAUCUUCACUUCACAAUCCCAUGCAUUCCUUCUAUUCUGCUUUCUCUUCUUCUUCCAUGUCUCCUCCUUCAAAGGCCGUUAUCUAUGAGCAGCAAGGCCAACCAGACCAAGUUGCCAGGGUUGUUGAUCUUCCUGAAGUUGAACUCAAGGAAAAUGACGUGUGUAUCAAAAUGCUUGCAGCCCCCAUAACUCCCUCUGACAUCAAUAGGAUUGAAGGAGUUUACCCUAUUAGACCUCCAGUACCAGCGGUUGGAGGAUAUGAGGGGGUUGGAGAAAUUUAUGCUUUAGGGUCUGCAGUGAGGAAUCUUUCUGUUGGUGAUUGGGUUGUACCAUCACCUCCAUCUUCUGGAACUUGGCAGAUUUACAUUGUCAAGGAAGCGAAUGCUUUGCACAAAGUCCGUAAAGACAUUCCUAUGGAGUAUGCUGCUACGGUUACUGUAAAUCCUUUGUCAGCGCUAUGCAUGAUGGAGGAUUUUGUUAAGCUGACCUCUGGAGAUGUUAUUGUGCAAAAUGGCGCAACGAGCAUGGUGGGGCAGUCCAUUAUUCAGCUUGCUAGGAUUCGAGGCAUUCAUAGCAUAAAUAUUAUCAGGGACAGGAUUGGAGCAGAAGAAGUCAAAAAUAGACUCAAGAAACUUGGAGCAGAUGACGUGUUCACAGAAAGCCAAUUGGAAGUGAAGAAUAUCAAGUCUCUUCUGGGUAAUCUAUCUGAACCAGUGUUGGGCUUCAAUUGCACUGGUGGUAAUGCAGCUUCUUUAGUCCUUAGAUUCUUAAGGCAGGGGGGGACGAUGGUGACCUAUGGAGGCAUGUCGAAGAAACCAAUCACUGUUUCUACCUCCUCUUUCAUAUUUAAGCUUACCAUGCCAAAGCUGUUUGCUGCAGGAUCUUUCUUUGAGAGGGUUCUGGUUGCAAAAUUGGAUGACUUCACACAAGGCAGAUGAGUGUAGAGUGAUGAUAGACUACAUCUUGGACUUGGUUCAUGAAGGGAAGUUCAAAUAUGAGAUGGAGCUGGUCCCCUUUCAGGAUUUCCACAGGGCUCUAGAUAAAGCACUUGGGAAGCUGGGAAAUCAUCCCAAGCAAGUUUUGAAAUUUUGAUGAAACAGAACAUGCAUCAUGGAGUUCAAGAAGGGUCAUUUUUGAGUUUGAAUGGGUGUUGGUUUCCUAGUCUGUAUUAAAAGAAGAUACCAACUGAAAUCAGCAUUUACUUUGGCUCCCCCUUCCAUCCAUAUCUGGACGAGAGCCCGAACACACAUAUUAUAUGUAUUGGAGUUAUGGAAACUUCUAUAUACUAUAGUAUUGGAUGAUAGGAAUGAAAAUGCACUGUUUUUUUUUUGACAAUAGAUAAAGCAACGUGAGAAAUGCAAGGAGUCUCUCUCUCUCUCUCUUUCCACAUGCAUGUGAGUGUACCAUGGUAUGUGCCGGUCUCAUCCAUGUAUGCACAUACAAAGCAAAAAUCUCUCUUGUACAACGGUAUCGAUUUAUAUCUUUAUUUGUGUUUAUUGAAUGCGGCUUAUUGGUGGAAA